AGCAGCCGCGGUAAUUCCAGCUCCAAUAGCGUGUAUUAAAGUUGUUGCAGUUAAAAAGCUCGUAGUUGAAUUUCGGGGUUCUACCGUUGGUCAGGCUAUUGUUUGUACUGGCGUGUAGAAUUUCUACCUUCUGGGGAACUAUCAUGUUAUUAAUUUAGCGUGGUAGGAAACCAGGACCUUUACCUUGAAAAAAUUAGAGUGUUCAAAGCAGGCUUAUGUCUGAAUACAUUAGCAUGGAAUAAUAAAAUAGGACGGUGGUCCUGUUUUGUUGGUUUCUAGGAUUGACGUAAUGAUUAAUAGGGAUAGUUGGGGGCAUUAGUAUUCAAUUGUCAGAGGUGAAAUUCUUGGAUUUAU
rnacentral:rRNA from 1 species